rnacentral:rRNA from 1 species
UACGUAGGUGGCGAGCGUUGUCCGGAUUUACUGGGCGUAAAGGGCGUGCAGGCGGUUUGUUAAGUGCAGGGUGAAAGCUCCCGGCUCAACUGGGAGAGGUCCUUGCAUACUGGCGAACUCGAGGGAGGCAGAGGAAAGUGGAAUUCCCGGUGUAGUGGUGAUAUGCGUAGAUAUCUGGAGGAACACCGGUGGCGAAGGCGGCAUCCUGGACCGAAACUGACACUGAGGCGCGAAAGCCAGGGGAGCAAACGGG